UACGAAGGGGGCUAGCGUUGUUCGGAUUUACUGGGCGUAAAGCGCGUGUAGGCGGACUGUUAAGUUGGGGGUGAAAUCCCGAGGCUCAACCUCGGAACUGCCUUCAAAACUGGCGGUCUGGAGUGAAGGAGAGGCGAGUGGAAUUCCGAGUGUAGAGGUGAAAUUCGUAGAUAUUCGGAGGAACACCAGUGGCGAAGGCGGCUCGCUGGCCUUUUACUGACGCUGAGACGCGAAAGCGUGGGGAGCAAACAGG
rnacentral:rRNA from 1 species